GAUUUCUUUUUUCUGCCAAAACAUUUUCAAAAAUUUCCCCAAAAUGUUGAAAAUGUGGACCUCAGAAAUUUCACUGUGGAUAUAUACAUUUUUUCCCCAUUUUCAAACUUUAAAACGGGUCAGUUUGACCCGCAGGACGACGCGAGGGUUAAAACAUUCCAAAACAGUCCUGAAAUAUGUUGGAUUUAAGCUGAAAAUAUGCUGGGCAGUAAAAACCAGCCAGAAUCACGUCCAGUUAGAGGAAUGUUGAUUAAAGUUUACACAUUUUUUGGUCAUUAUGUUGCAGUAGAUAAGAGUGUUUCUGCUCUAGCCCACUGAUAUUAAGGUGUUUUCAGUAUUUGUGCACCUUUUUCAGUUUGCAUUUCUUGUGAUUCUGAGAAUAUUGGAGUCUUUUGCAUGUCCUUUGUCUCACAAUCAGGCUUUGAAUGUUGGAUUUUGUGGAGACUUUGGAUGGUUUCAUGUUUUCCUGCAGCCUUCCAGUUAAAGUUCUGAAGUUGAGACGUAAAACAAAGCUCAACAUUACUCGUAAAUGUCAGUAGAAGACAGCAUGAAGUGCAGUGAGUGUUCUGUCCUCCAGCUGGCCUCUCCUGUCGCCAUACAUUCCUAUAAGCCUCCGUCUGCGCUCAGCUGCGCGGAGGAGGAGCGUUAACGGGGCCGGUAAGCGAGGCGGACAUGGCGGCGCAUAGUCCAGCGGAUUCCUGCCGGCCUUUUAGAGGCUGUUUGUCCGUUUGCAUGCUGCAGGAUGUUUAGAUGAAAGCACCGGGAGUCGUGGUUCGGAGAUGCCGCCCGCUCGGUGCGUAAAGCUGCCACUCGGUGUCGGAUGAAGUUUCCAGGCACAACUCCAGAACAGGGCGGCUGUUUCAGAGGAACUAAGGGAAGUUUAUUGCUGAUUUACGCACCAACUUCCAGCUGACCUUGACCGCAUCUACUGACUGUUAUCAGACCUGCAGGGAUUCACAGGGAGUUUCCAGACAAAAGGGUGAAACUUGCACCAAGUUAGUUUUAAAAAUACAGACUUUUAUUUCAUGUUGGUCAGAUUUUAUGAAGUUUCUUACCUUAAUCCAGGGGUGUCAAACAUGAAGUCCGCAGGUCAAAUCCGGCCGCCAGAGGGUCCAAUCCGGCUCUCCAGAGUGUGGACUUUGUGUAAAAAUAGUGUAAAAAAAAUGCAAAAAUUACAAAGAACACAUUAACUGCAAAUAUUACAUUAGUCAAACUGUAAAUAAUUUCUAGAUCUUGACAAAUAAAUCCUAAAGUACAACACUGUCAUUGUUGUCAUUUUGUGUCUCACUUUAGUAACAUUUUGUCUUGUUUUUGUCAUUUUUUUGUCUGACUUUUGUCAUUUGUCUCAUUUUUGGCAUUCUGUGUGUCAUUUUUGGAAUAUUUUGCCAAAUUAUUGUAGUUUUUUUCUCAUUUUUGUCAUUUUGCAUCUCAUGUUGGGAUUAUUUUGUCUUGUUUUUGUUGUUUUUUGUCUUUUUCUUUGUCUGACUUUUGUCAUUUUGAUCAUAAAGUAAAAUACUAUAUCAACCAGUUCCAGAUACAUGUGACUAAAUGUUUUGUUUAUCUGUAGACACUGUGAUCUCUAAGUUCUAAUGUGUAAAUGAUAAACUGAGGCAUAAUGUUGUUGAAACUGAAUGUAAUUUUCUUAAGAAAUUUCAGGUUGUUCAUGAUGUUUUGUAAAAAGAUAAUUCCUUAAAUGUUGUUGUGCUCUGAUUUAACUGGUCUGGCUCACUUGAGGUCAAAUUGGGCUGAAUGUGGCUCCUGAACUAAAGUACGGUAUGUUUGACACUCCUGCCUUCAUCCAUUAUACGCCUCAUUCAGUUGCUCUCAUGAGGAGUGUUUUUUGGUCAUGUGUUCCUAAGAGGAAGUCACUUCUUUCUGCUCAGCUGCUGCUCGUCUCUGGACUUGCUGUGUCCACAGUUGCAGCUCCUGCGCCUGGAUUAAAGCCCUGCUGAUAUCCCUGGUGUCCCGCUGCUUCUGUGAACAACACUGAAGUAAGUUUUCGUUCAGCUCAUGCACAGACUCACUGGAGAUUUUAAACACAUGAGAAGAGUAUAAAUCCUGCAGAAUUCUCAUGACACUGUCACCUAUAAUGUUGGUUUCUAUUCUAAAAGUUGCCCACAACAAUCCAUAAAUCCAAAAUAAAUCCAGAUUUAGGAGCUUAUAGGUGCAAAUAAGCUUUAAUUCUGCUAAUUCUAUAUGAUUCCUAUCACAAAAUCAGACCAGAAAAGCAGAAAAACUCUCAAAUUUCUUAGAUUUGCAACUGAUAAUUAUUAUUGCAUGAACAUUUCUUCCUCUCAUCAGCUCCACUGGGGUAAUGUUUGGCUCUUGUCUGGCUGCAGGAGCAGAUUUCUACCACUUGUGUGCAGUGUUGGUUUGUCUCUGAGUGUCGAUACGCUCAGAUACUUUUUAUGGAUUCAAGUGGAAAACGAGACUUUUAAGUUUUAUUCCAGAUAACGUGAGCAGAGGUUGAAUCUAAAUUUAGUGUGAAAAAAAAAGUCAGAAAAAGCCUGAGAGGUGUCACUCAGAUCUCACAGAAGCACUAUUAGUUACAACAGAACAGGAAAGUGAUAGUGAAUGAUGUGUUUGCUGCCUGUUAUUUGACACAUAUUUUAACUAAAUCGUAAAUCAGAUCAGAGCUGAAUGUUUGAAAAAAAUACUUUAAGUUUCCACCCAUUCCAGUGAUCUGACUGUUUAUGGGUGUGUCUUCUCUGCUGACUGAACUCCAGCUGAUACAUGAUGUCUGAUAAAAUACAAACCCACAGCAAACAGUGUGGUGUUUCAUCAAAACUUACGAUAUCUAUAAUAAAGCACAUCAUGUUAAAUACCAUUUAUGUCACAUUUUCUCUCUCAGUCUGUGUCAGAGUCACUAAAUGUGCAGGUGGAGUCAUGAUGCUGCAAAUAUAUUGAUGUUCAUUUGAUGUAUUUAACAUUUAAAAACAGCAACAACAACAAAAAACACCUUAUCUAAGAAAAAACAAUAAAAAGAAAGUACAUGGGGAAAAGGUGUUUGACAGAUUUUCCUCUUUAGUUCAGCUACAGGUAACUACAAGCAAAAUCACUGGAAAAAAAGUGAGGGAAAAAAAUGGCCAAAAGUAUAAAUAAUGUCCCCAUGAAAAAUGUGUAUUUUUACAAAUAGUAAUUUGUUCUUUUAUGAUGUCUUACUAUUUUGCACUAUUUUUCCUGCAAUUAAAUCAGCAAAAAUAUUGUUAUUUUGCACAUUUUUGCUACUAUUUGAAUGUAAAAUUAUGCAUAUUUACGAUUGGAAAAAGUAGUAAAUAUUAAUAACUGUUAAAAAAAAUUAUAAAAAUUGACUCUACAUAGCAUCCACAUAAAACUAUCAUUUUUACAAAUAGCAAUUUGUUCUUUGACUGUAAAAUAAAAGUUUUAGUGCUUGAAUCUGCUCCAGAUUAUUUUUACAGAUAUUUACUUUUAUUUUCACAGUUUUUACAGCUUUUAAUUGUCCCAGUAUUCUGUCAUUUUAACAUAAUAAUGUUUAAAAAAAAAAAAAAAGCGUAGCUCUUUUACAGAUUUUUGUCACUAUUUGAAAGUGAAACUAUGCAUAUCUACGAUUGGAAAAAGUGGUAAAAAUUUUUAAACUGUAAAAUAAAACAGCACAUGACUGUACAUAACAUCCACAUUAAAAAAAUUGUAUUUCAGUUUGUUCUUUGUGUGACUGUAAAAUUACAGUUUUAGUGUUUGAAUCUUUUUACAGCUUUUUAUUGUUCCCAUAUUCUAUCAGUUUAAUGUAAUAAUGUAAAAUACAUUUAAAAAAUAAAAUGUGCAGUUAUUUUACAGAUUUUGAUCUAUUUUAAAGUGAAAAAAAUCUACAUAUUAAGGAAAGUGACAAAGUAAAGAAUGUUUUAAUAUGUUAUUUCACAGACAAAAGUCUGAAUUUACAUGUUGAUUGUAAAAAAUAAAAAUUAACAAACACAUGAAACCCUCUAUUUAAAUAGUAAUUUGUUCUUUUACGAUGUUCAGCUGUAAAAUUCUAUUUUUGCUGUAUUUAAAUCUGCUAAAAAAUAUAGCUAUUUUACAAAUAUUUGCCAUUAUUGUGGCUGUUUUUGCGUUUUUUGCCUGUUGUGGUAUUCUGUCAUUCGCUUUUUCAGAAGAAUUUCAUAGACAGGAAACUGGAUAAUUAUGGCCAAUCUGAAACCUCACUACUGCAGACUGAUCUAUAUGUGAAUGGAGAAACUGUAAAACAGAAAAUGUUAUUUUCUCUGUGAUAAACCAUCAUGACUGCAAAAAUCUGGUAAAAUGUGAUUUAAAAUCACUGAAGUAGCUUUCUGUUUUAAUUCUGAACACUAACUGCAACCUCUAUCAGUUGUUUUUGUACCAGAAGCUUUUAAUUUACCCCCCCUAAAACCACCAGGAAUAGUGAUCUCCUCACAGAUACAGUUAAACCUGCAUCACACACACUUCCUCUGAGGAAUCUCCAACAUGUCACUUCCCGCUCAGUGAAACUAUGUGGUGUCGUCAGCGUUCGAGGAACGCAGCAGAGCCCAACCCAAGAGGUUAUUUCUGUCCUCCAGCCUCCACCCGUCCAGGCAGCCGGACCUGGCAGCGUUCAGACGGAGCUGCUCCAAAACAUCCAACUGUUCAGGUGCACAGGUGGAGCAGAGAGGGACGUUAGAUCAGUCACAAAGAUGGACAGAGUUUAUCGUCUGUGAUCUGAGUCUAGCAAGCUAGUCAUUUUUUACGUUUCUGCUUUCAUAUUCAGCACUUUUGCACAUUAAAUUGAAGCUUGUAACAGGCUGCAGGGUGAAUAAAACCUUGUCUAUGUGCAUGCUUUUACUUUGAUAGGUUCACUAUGACGUCACAGCUUCCUGCAGUUUAUUAUCAUCACUAACUGGGUCGUAUGUUUCAGGAAAAACAGAGCUGAAGUUCAACAUUAAGCAGGUUUCACAGGUAGAAAACUGCCUAAAUAUACUGUCUUCAUGAUGAAACUCAUCAUAUGUCUAUUAAAAUCCCAGAAAAAGUUUUUUUUUAAACUGACUACAUAAUGUUCACUUCAAAAAUCUGGAUUUUUACGAAUUCUAGUUUAUUCUUUUACUAGAUGUGACCAUAAAAUGACAUUUUUCCUGUGUUUAAAUCUGCUAAAUGUUCUGCUGAAGGUUCUCGUUCCUGCACCUGAAAACUCUGGUCUGUUUCCAUAAACACUCUUUGAUUUCAUUCACUUCUUAUCUGCAGCAUCAGAGCUGCAGCACCCAGUUAAUGCUGGAUGGAAACACUUUCUGCUGCCAGGAGACCACUUCAGCUCGCUGCCACCCAGGACCACCCAGUAGAUAUGGAGGCUCCACAGCUCAUUACUGUACGGUGUUCUGCAGAUUUAGAUCUGCUGUGUUUAUCUUCAUGCAGGUGAUUCAGAGCCAAGAUGCUGCAGGAGGAAUUCAAGUGUCGAUUUAGCUUUAAGUGUUAAAUCACACAAUCUGUUGUGUUUAUUACUGUGUUUGAAGAACCGUCUAGUCUGUACAUGAAACAUGCAUCAAAUCUGAAUGUUUUCUGUGAAAACAUGAAGGAAAGACAACCAAAAAAAAUAAGGAAACGUGAAAAAUAGUUCAGUAAACAAAAUAAAUGGUUGUAACUGAAAAAAAAAGUUGAAAAAUGGUUCAGUAAGCAAAACUAGAGGAGAUGCAAUCAAUGAAUAAACAACUUUUUGAGAAAUAUUUUAAUGCAAAACAAGUUGGAAUAUUAAUCAAUGUGACAAAAUAGAUGCAAAAUCACAACAGAGCAGUAAAUAAAAUGACAAUUUUCUAAAUAUAAUGAUGCACAAAAAUUCACCCACAGGAUUUCACAAAUAGUAUUUGUGCAGUUUUUGUAGAUUUUAUUCUUUUCUGUUGCUUCUUUGUUGUUUUUUGCAGUGUUUUCUUUAUUAUAGCAAUAAAUCUAAUAAAUGUGGCUUCAGAAAUGAGGACGACUGUAAUACUUUACUAGAUCCAAUACAAAAUUUGCAGAGUUACAACCAUUAAAUAAUCCCAGAUAUGUCCGACAAAAUAUAAUAUUAAUCAAUCUGACAAAAUAGAUGCAAAAUCACAACAGAGUGGUAAAUAAAAUGACGGUUUUCCAAAUUAUAAUGAAGCACAUAGACUUCAGAUUGUAUUUGUGCAAUUUUUUAAUCAAUCUUACUCUCUUCUAUUGCUGUUUCUGCUGUUUUUUGCAGCGUUUUCUUUUGUUUUUGAAAUAAAUCUAGCAAAUUCGGCUUCAGAAAUAAGGGCAGCUGCUAUAUUUUUUUAGAUCCAACAUAGAAUUUGUACAGUUACAACCAUUAAAUAAACCAUUAAAUAACCCCAAAUAUUUCUGACAAAAUCUAAUAUUAAUCUAUGUGACAAAACAGAUGUAAAAACACAACAGAGCAGUAAAUAAAAUGACAAUUUUCUAAACAAUGAAUCACAAAAAUGCACACACGAGACUUCAGAUUGUAUUUUUUGCCUUUUUUGUAUAUUAUUUUCUCCGAGCGUUGCUUUUUCUGUUGUUUACUGCAGUGUUUUCUGUAUUAUAGAAAUAAACCUAAUAAAUGUGUUUUCAGAAAUGAG